CGUGUAUUUGUCAAGAAGUGGGCGUGAUACGCUAUUGUGAGGGGGGAUCAUCGCUAGGCAUUUAUGUUUCCGGAAGACUGGAGCUGUAGCAUUGUCUGCCGAAUUCGGUGAAAUACCAAACUAGUGACUUAAUAUACAUACAUUUCAUUCUUGAUAGAAAGCAGCUUGUGUACGGGAAUGUGAUAGGGGAUGUUCAGUGUCUGUGAAAACGGUGUUGAUUUUGGCAAGUCAUCAAGUGAUGGUCUGAUGGCAAGUGGAAACCCUGCAAAUUUUUCUGCUGAUGAGAUUCUGUCUGUUGUUUGGGGUCGCCAAGAAAUCAACGAAUCUGUAUUCAACCGCUGGAAUCAGGGUUUUGUGUUCAGUGCUGACGAGCCCUGUGCACUUGUGCAGUAUGAAGGUGGACCUUGCAGUGUCAUUGCCCCUGUGCAAGCUCACAUUUUCAAGAACAUGUAUGAAAAAUACCCAGACUCAUGGGAAAAGCUGACGGCGCGGGAGGCGAACGAGCUGCUGGCCUCGUCGCUGUCGGAGAUCCUGGGUCGGUGCGCCGGCGGCGCCGCGUCUGUCCGGCUGGUGACGCCUGA